CAAGCCCUGGAAACGGGGUCUAAUACCGGAUACUGAUCCUCGCGGGCAUCUGCGAGGUUCGAAAGCUCCGGCGGUGCGGGAUGAGCCCGCGGCCUAUCAGCUUGUUGGUGAGGUAAUGGCUCACCAAGGCGACGACGGGUAGCCGGCCUGAGAGGGCGACCGGCCACACUGGGACUGAGACACGGCCCAGACUCCUACGGGAGGCAGCAGUGGGGAAUAUUGCACAAUGGGCGAAAGCCUGAUGCAGCGACGCCGCGUGAGGGAUGACGGCCUUCGGGUUGUAAACCUCUUUCAGCAGGGAAGAAGCGAAAGUGACGGUACCUGCAGAAGAAGCGCCGGCUAACUACGUGCCAGCAGCCGCGGUAAUACGUAGGGCGCAAGCGUUGUCCGGAAUUAUUGGGCGUAAAGAGCUCGUAGGCGGCUUGUCACGUCGGUUGUGAAAGCCCGGGGCUUAACCCCGGGUCUGCAGUCGAUACGGGCAGGCUAGAGUUCGGUAGGGGAGAUCGGAAUUCCUGG
rnacentral:rRNA from 1 species